GUGCUAUUGGAAUAGCAAAAUCGGAGCAGAGAUGGAACUUUACUAAGCAGCUACACCAACCAAUUCAGUGAUCUACCAGGUCCGAUGUUUCCUAGAAGCGCUUGGCUUAAGAACACCAACAAUGCGGGCUAAGGAAAGAAUUCAAAAAGCUGUUUUCCAGGGAGAUUCAUGAUUUGAUAGAGCUUGCAGUUUUAAGUUUUGUAAUUUUGUUUUGCCCAUAAUUUGCCACAGCAAGCCCUUACAAAUACAAGCUUAUGCUCAGAUGAGCAAGCUCGUGAUAGGAGUGGCUUUNACUUUCUGAUGUAAUCCUGGGAAUCACGUCCAUUAUAUCACAUAUUCACACCAAGCAAUGCCAACUAUCAAAUACCCAACAAAUCACAACUCCGACCAAACUUAUUUUAUCAAUC
rnacentral:misc_RNA from 1 species